rnacentral:rRNA from 1 species
UACGUAGGGCGCGAGCGUUGUCCGGAAUUAUUGGGCGUAAAGAGCUUGUAGGCGGUUUGUCGCGUCUGCUGUGAAAACCCGAGGCUCAACCUCGGGCCUGCAGUGGGUACGGGCAGACUAGAGUGCGGUAGGGGAGACUGGAAUUCCUGGUGUAGCGGUGGAAUGCGCAGAUAUCAGGAGGAACACCGAUGGCGAAGGCAGGUCUCUGGGCCGCAACUGACGCUGAGGAGCGAAAGCAUGGGGAGCGAACAGG